rnacentral:rRNA from 1 species
CGGUACGUGGCAUACGGGGUGAAAGUGCCAAUCGAAACGUCGGAGAUAGACUGGUUNUCCCCCGAAAUAGCUUUAGGGCGUAGCCUCGAGUGAUGCAUGCAGACGGUAGAGGCACUGAUCGGGCAAGGGGCGUAAAGCCUACGACCCCAGUCAAACUGCGAAUGGCUGCAUGUCAAACUCGGGAGUCAGCGUGCGAGUGAUAAGACCCGUACGCAAGAGGGAAACAGCCCAGACCGCCAGCUAAGGUCCCCAAUGCUGUACUAAGUGGAAAAAGGAUGUAGGAAUUCGAAAACAACCAGGAUGUUGGCUCAGAAGCAGCCACCAUUUAAAGAGUGCGUAAUAGCUCACUGGUCGAGAGUCCCCUGCGCCGAAAAUAUCCGGGGCUCAAGUACAGAACCGAAGCUGCGGCUGCAUACUUAGGUAUGCGGGGUAGGGGAGCGUACCAUGCGCGGCGAAGCCGUACCGGAAGGAGCGGUGGAGUGCAUGGCAGUGAGAAUGCCGGUAUGAGUAGCGAAAAGGCCAGCAAGA